rnacentral:miRNA from 1 species
UGAGCUGAGCUGAGCUGAGCUGGGUUGGGCUGGGCUGUGCUGGGCUGACCUGGGCUGAGCUGAGCUGAGC